CACCACUGUGCACACAAGAGACCCGGCUUCCCACAGUCUGCUCCCAGCCAGGCAAGGAAGGCAGCCCGGAUGCUCAGGAGGGGCCGUUCUGCAAGAUCCAGGACUCCUCGGGUAGAUUCCCGGCGUACACUUGAUUCACCUCGUAACCACAGACCACCCUCUUCUCAGCAUGAGUGACAUUUUGAUUUGUAGGCAGCUUUGGGACAACCACAAGGCUACGCCUCAAAGGCCUCCAAGUUGGGGAGUGUGACUGACCAGGACCCAGCAGCGGGCCUUGAGCUCUACCCAGUGUUGUGCUGAGACACUGCCUCUCAAGGUGCCAGGUGCCAGGCACAGAGGAGGGCGCCAGGGCUGCUGGGGUGGCCUUGCUGGGCCUUUGUUUGACUUCACAGUAGUGCAGGGCUCUCCUGCCCAACCUUUCCUCCAUCCCUUCGUCACCUCGGGUCAUAUUUUCCUGGUGGUGCAAUGGAUCUCCAGGUCUUACCCCCGUUUCUCCUCAUUUCCCCCCAAUAAAAUCCUUGCCCAUUUAA